rnacentral:misc_RNA from 1 species
AAGUCGUAACAAGGUAACCGUAGGUGAACCUGCGGUUGGAUCAUUAGUAAAAACCGUUCCCCGCAAGAUUACUGCGGGCACUUGGAGUAGUCUUUGUGGAUAAAAUAGGCUGUUGUGGAUCGAAAAGGUUUGUUAGCCAUUUGGAGUCCGCAUAUCACCUUUUCGGGAAACAGCAGAUCUACCACAUGGGUGAAACUUGUGGUACAUAUGUGAAAUGUAUGGGGUGUUGAUUUUGAAGCACGUUUGUGCUUCAGGUCAUCACUCUGUUCCACUUGAUUAUUAUAAUUUGUCUAAAUCGAAAUUUUAUAUUUAAUAUAAAAACAACUUUUGGCAACGGAUCUCUUGGCUCUC